rnacentral:rRNA from 1 species
GACGAACGCUGGCGGCGUGCCUAAUACAUGCAAGUCGAGCGAAGUUUUUCUGGUGCUUGCACUAGAAAAACUUAGCGGCGAACGGGUGAGUAACACGUAAAGAACCUGCCUCAUAGACUGGGACAACUAUUGGAAACGAUAGCUAAUACCGGAUAACAGUAUUUCUCGCAUGAGAGAUAUUUAAAAGUUGGUUAUGCUAACACUAUGAGAUGGCUUUGCGGUGCAUUAGCUAGUUGGUGGGGUAAAGGCCCACCAAGGCGACGAUGCAUAGCCGACCUGAGAGGGUGAUCGGCCACACUGGGACUGAGAAACGGCCCAGACUCCUACGGGAGGCAGCAGUAGGGAAUCUUCCGCAAAGGGCGAAAGCCUGACGGAGCAACGCCGCGUGAGUGAAGAAGGAUUUCGGUUCGUAAAGCUCUGUUGUUAGGGAAGAAUGGAUAUGUAGUAACUAUACAUGUAAGAGACGGUACCUAACCAGAAAGCCACGGCUAACUACGUG